rnacentral:sRNA from 1 species
CCAGCGCCCACACGGGCGCGUCCGGUCCCACCCUUGAAGCGCGACGAUUUCGGCCUUGAAAUUGAUCGCGACAAGGCUGUGUGCGGGCGACACGCCCGAGCGCGGGGCCGGUGGACCU